rnacentral:lncRNA from 1 species
CGAAAGGGGGUGUUCCAAAAGUUGUUUGGGCCAUAAAGUUUUUGCAAGCCCAAAAGAACCAAUAAGCAAAACAUUUACACCUCUUAAUCAAUUAAACUUAACCGUUAAUCGAUUGAGACUAUUUAUUUUUCAAAUGUAGUAUCGUUUAAUCAAUUAAGUAUAAAAUAUAAUCGAUUAGAAACAAAAUCAAUAAUUAAUCACUGAGGUGAAACAUAAAUUAAUCAGCUUUGAU